rnacentral:miRNA from 1 species
GGGGCUGGGCUGGGCUGGGCUGGUCUGCUGCAGGGCGGUGCAAAGGCCCCCCAAAGACUCUUCCAGCCUGACCUUC